UUGCAGGCUGGAACUCGCCUGCAUGAAGUUGGAUUCGCUAGUAAUCGCGCAUCAGCCAUGGCGCGGUGAAUACGUUCCCGGGCCUUGUACACACCGCCCGUCAAGCCAUGGGAGCCGGGGGUGCCUGAAGUUCGUGACCGCAAGGAGCGACCUAGGGCAAAACUGGUGACUGGGGCUAAGUCGUAACAAGGUAGC
rnacentral:rRNA from 1 species